GAUAACACUUCAAUAAGAGAAGACUGAUAGAAGAUUGAUUAAUAUAG
rnacentral:guide_RNA from 1 species